UGAGAUGUCCUGUCAGCAGAGCCAGCAGCAGUGCCAGCCCCCUGCCAAGUGCCCUCCCAAGUGCCAGACCCCAAAGUGCCCUCCAAAAUGUCCCCCAAAAUGUCCUUCCAAGUGCCCCCCUGUUUCUUCCUGCUGUAGCCUGGGUUCUGGGAGUUGCUGCAGUUCUGGUGGCUGCUGUGGCUCCAGCUCUGGUGGCUGCUGCAGCUCUGGGGGAGGAGGCUGCUGCCUGAGCCACCACAGACCCCGCAGAUCUCUCCGUCGCCAUCGCCACAGCUCUGGAUGCUGCAGCAGUGGUGGCAGCAGUGGUUGCUGUGGCAGCAGUGGUGGCAGCAGUGGCUGCUGUGGCAGUAGCCAGCAGUCUGGAGACUGCUGCUGACCUGGGUGUGGAAGACUUUAGACAAAUGGUGCUGGAGGAGCACAUGCUCAGAAGACACCCCAAUUCUUCUUCCUCUCUUCUCCUGCUUUCCUCCU
rnacentral:lncRNA from 1 species